CCAAAGGCGCCACCUCCUAAUACAAUCAUCAUGGAUGCCAGGAUUUUAAUAUAUGAAUUUUUAGGAGGAACACAAAAUUCAGUGUAUUGCAACUAAUUUUGCAAAUAUUGGCUGAUUGGCAGUUUCUCCACUUUUAAUGCCAUUCAUUGGCUCAUGCUGCCUAAGGAGUCUUGUGGCUUUUGCUCUUUUUUGCUUUAUCUGCCCAUUUGUCAAUUUUCUGCAAGCCUGGUGGAGACCAAGCAACUCAAUCAGCUCUUCCUCUUCCUAUUGCCCUCAGAGCACCUCCUAGUGGCAAAAAGCAGGCAUUGUAAUCCCAGCAAGGCUUUUGAAAUUUGCUUCUUUCAUCCAUUUAUUUAGUUAUUGCCUGCAAAUGUUUCAACGAUAAUGUAAUGAUCCCUCUGCUGUCCAAAGACCAUGGUUGACCACAGGUAAUUGAAACCCUGGAAGGUGAAACUGCAGAUAAGGAGGACUACAGUGUUCAACUAUUUACAAAUAAUGACAGUGGCCACAAAGAUUACCUUGAAAAGAGACCGUGAGACAGUUUCACACAGACUGUGCCUGGAUUUCCAUGAGUCUCUGCCAACUGCUUUUUAAGAGGUUUGUUGGCAGGAAGUGUCUUGGUUUUCUUGAUGGCAGAGAUAAAGAAAAAAAGAAAAAAAACAAACGUGAAAAAUUCCAAGGAUCAAUUUGCUAUUCAGUUUGGAAAAUAGUUAUUUACAAGAAGCACUGUGGCAUCUACAAGAUCUUGCUACCUCACCCAACUACUCCCUCCCUAAUCCAAAAAAAUGAGAGAAACCCAUUGCAGUCUGUGGUUGGGGUUGAUUAAACAUCCCUUGGGGCCCUAAUGCCCUCGAAAUGAUGUGAAAUCACUGGGUUGUGUAUCAAAAGGGCAGGGUGAGCUCCUGGCUCAUCUGACUUUAAUCUCAAAUGGCUCCACACUGGUAGUUGAGAACAGACAAUUACUUCAUUAACUUUUGGAAAGUCUGAGGCAUUUGUGUUGCUUUCUGGACUGUGCUCUGCUACAGGGAGAGAAAAGACGAGGUCCAACGAGGCCAUUCAUGCCUGCCAAGUUUUCCUUUCUUUCCAAUCCAGGAAACAUACAUUGGUAGUGGGUAAGAUCCAAUAUUUUAUAAUGCUAAGACAGAGAGACUCACCCACUGAACAGCCCAGAGUGAAUAUUCCCCAAGUCUUGGCUGGCAUGUAAGCCCAGAAUCUUCACCCUUACUCUCAAACCUUUUGCCACCUCUAUCCAAGAAUUAUUUUUAAUAAUGUCAUGUUCUCUUCUUUCCCUUAAAUAAAUCCACUCAUAUAUGAAA
rnacentral:lncRNA from 1 species